UUAAGUUCAGCGGGUAUCCCUACCUGAUCCGAGGUCAACCUUUAGAAGAUGUUUUAACGGCGCAAACCCGUCGGUCUCACAAGCGAACAUUGUUUGCCACAACGCUAAGAGACGAUGAGCUCAGCCGGAGACAUUAAGGCGCGCGGCAGGCGCGGCGCCCAAUACCAAGCGAGGCUUGAGUGGUGUAAUGACGCUCGAAC
rnacentral:misc_RNA from 1 species